ensembl:rRNA 5S_rRNA 5S ribosomal RNA
ACUUACGGCCAUACCAGCCGAAGAACGCCUGGUCUCGUCUGAUCUCGUAUGCGAAGAAUGCUUCGGCCUGGUUAGUACUUGGAUGGGAGACUACCUGGGAAUACCAGGUGCUAUAAGCU